AUUGAACGCUGGCGGCAUGCCUUACACAUGCAAGUCGAGCGGUAACAGGUCUUCGGAUGCUGACGAGUGGCGGACGGGUGAGUGAUACAUCGGAACGUGCCUAGUAGUGGGGGAUAACUACUCGAAAGAGUGGCUAAUACCGCAUGAGAUCUACGGAUGAAAGCAGGGGAUCGCAAGACCUUGUGCUACUAGAGCGGCCGAUGGCAGAUUAGGUAGUUGGUGGGAUAAAAGCUUACCAAGCCGACGAUCUGUAGCUGGUCUGAGAGGACGAUCAGCCACACUGGGACUGAGACACGGCCCAGACUCCUACGGGAGGCAGCAGUGGGGAAUUUUGGACAAUGGGCGCAAGCCUGAUCCAGCAAUGCCGCGUGCAGGAUGAAGGCCUUCGGGUUGUAAACUGCUUUUGUACGGAACGAAAAGCCCCGGGUUAAUACCCUGGGGUCAUGACGGUACCGUAAGAAUAAGCACCGGCUAACUACGUGCCAGCCGCCGCGGUAA
rnacentral:rRNA from 1 species